GUGCUCACUUUGGCAGCACAUAUACUAAAAUUGGAAUGAUACAGAGAUUAGCAUGGCCCCUGUGCAAGGAUAACAUGCAAAUUUGUGAAGCGGUCCAUAUUAAA